rnacentral:snRNA from 1 species
GGGUGACUUGGCUGUGACAUCUGUCACCCCAUUGAUGGCCAGGGUUGACUCAACUGAACUGACUGGGCCCAUGUGUGCCCCUCCUGAAGUUGUCCGCUGGGUCAAAGAGAACCACUUUCUCCAACNGAGGACUGUUCCUCAGUUAAGGGUUUAGGAGUAGCUGAAAGCUCCUACUAGAAUGUCCAAAUGAGUUCUCAAGGUGGGGUUUCACUCUGUAACCUAGGCUGGCCUCAAACUUGCAGUAAUCUACCUGUUUCAGUUUCCCAAAUGCUGGGAUUGCAG